GCUCGACAUAGGGCAAAGUGCUCAGAGGAGCUGAAGGCUGAACUUUCAGCCUUUUCACUGACCCCCAAAGCACUUUGGGCUUCUCUGAGGACAAGCCUGCUUCUCGAGGAACCGCAUUAUAUUAUCUGCUGAGGGAAGUUGGAAACACCAGAGACGGGGAAAGCACCAGGCGUGCCCGGCCCUGCAGGGAGCAAUGCCACCGAAGGAGAGGAAAUGUUACGUUUCCAAAGGCAAGAGCUUCACCCAGGACUUCAUCGGGGAGUUAGCUGUGUUGUGCACAGGGCUGAAGAGCGACAGUGACUUCUGGAGAACCCGAGGAUUCAGAAAGAACAGAGAAGGUGACUCAAUUAUUGGAGCAGCAGAAGUGCUCAUCGGUCUCGUGAAACUGAUGGAGAGAGUGCAGGAUCAGCACUUAACAAGGCAGGAACUCCUGACUAACCAAGAACCUGGGUGUUGGACUCCUGAAUCCUUUCCUGCCUCCUGAGCCUCUGUCUUAUUGCACCUGAUACCCUUGCAUUCCAACUCCGGACUUCUCAAGUAGGAUUCCACAGCUUUCUGAAGGCCUGGAUUCUGCGGAUUUGGGGAUCUAACUUCCUACCUGGUCUGUGACACACACCAUUAUCCAAAGCUCAUAACAACAAUGAGAAAGAACUGUAGCCAACUUUCCAGGAGCCAGAGCAUUGCAUUUUCCCCUACUAUAAACUUCCCUGAGAAAGAAUAAAUGGGUACUUUCUUUCUGCUGGAGAUGAAACUGCCCUUUCUAUUACUUUUGGUACAUUUUUUUACCUUUUUUUUUUUUUUUAACCUUCU
rnacentral:lncRNA from 1 species